CACGUAGGGUGCGAGCGUUGUCCGGAAUUAUUGGGCGUAAAGAGCUCGUAGGCGGUGUGUCGCGUCGGCCGUGAAAACCUGCAGCUUAACUGUGGGCUUGCGGUCGAUACGGGCAUCACUGGAGUUCGGCAGGGGAGACUGGAAUUCCUGGUGUAGCGGUGAAAUGCGCAGAUAUCGGGAGGAAUACCGAUGGCGAAGGCAGGUCUCUGGGCUGACACUGACGCUCAUGCACGAAAGCGUGGGGAGCAAACAGG
rnacentral:rRNA from 1 species